UUAAAAAGCUCGUAGUUGGAUCUCGGCGGGUAGAGGGCGGUUUGCUUCGUAGCAUUACUGCCCUAUUACCCGUAGUUUUUGCCAGAGGUUCCUGGGUGCUCUUAAUCGAGUGUCUAGGGAUGCUGGCAGGUUUACUUUGAAAAAAUUAGAGUGCUCAAAGCAGGCUAUUACGCUUGAAUAUUCGUGCAUGGAAUAAUAGAAUAGGAAGUUGUUUCUAUUUUGUUGGUUUUCGGAAAUCGACUUAAUGAUUAAUAGGGACAGUCGGGGGCAUUUGUAUUCAAACGACAGAGGUGAAAUUCUUGGACCGUUUGAAGACAAACUACUGCGAAAGCAUUUGCCAAGAAUGUUUUCAUUAAUCAAGAACGAAAGUUAGAGGUUCGAAGGCGAUUAGAUACCGCCCUAGUUCUAACCAUAAACGAUGCCAGCUAGCGAUCUGAGGACGUUUUUUUUGUAGACUCCUCAGGAAGCUUCCGGGAAACCAAAGCGUGUGGGUUCCGGGGGAAGUAUGGUUGCAAAGCUGAAACUUAAAGGAAUUGACGGAAGGGCACCACCAGGAGUGGAGCCUGCGGCUUAAUUUGACUCAACACGGGAAAUCUCACCAGGCCCGGACACUGGAAGGAUUGACAGAUUGAGAGCUCUUUCUCGAUUCGGUGGGUGGUGGUGCAUGGCCGUUCUUAGUUGGUGGAGUGAUUUGUCUGGUUAAUUCCGAUAACGAACGAGACUCUGUCCUGCUAAAUAGUGUCGGCCUCUCUUUUGGGCCGACAAUUCUUCUUAGAGGGACUGGCAGCUCCUAGCUGCACGAGAUAGAGCAAUAACAGGUCUGUGAUGCCCUUAGAUGUUCUGGGCAGCACGCGCGCUACACUGAAUAGAUCAGCGUGUUCUCCCUUUCUGAGAAGAACGGGUAAACCGCUGAACCCUAUUCGUGGUAGGGAUCGGGGCUUGCAAUUAUUCCC
rnacentral:rRNA from 1 species